rnacentral:sRNA from 1 species
GUUGGUUUCUCCUCCAUGGAAGCAUGGUUCCAACAAAGCCCCAUUAUCCUAAUUGGAUUAUCAGGGAGGUUAGAGUUGGCUAAAGGCUCAACUACUACUGUGGUGUGGGAGAUGGAUAAUGAUAGUGCUCAUGUGCACAAUGUGGGGGGAUGUACACGAUGGCACUGAUUAUGCACGAUGUGGGGG